ACAAAAUUGACUUAUCCCUGUCCUAUUAAGUGAACCCUACAACAGUUAUCCAAACAGAUCAAAACCUUGACCGACUGCCAUCCCUUCCCAAGAUCUCACAUCGUCUUCUCAGGGGAAAUCCAUAGGCGUCGUGUGUUUUCGGAGCCCAGGCGGGGAAGUGUGGUCACCCAGAAAACAACACACUAGUAUUGUUUGUGUUACCGUAAAUGUAUGUGUGUUGGUUGGAUGUAGAAAAUUCCACUUAGCGCUUUAGCGGCUAUCCGCUUCCUGUCCUUUCUGUUCGUGAUCGCCUGAGGGAGCAGUUGUGCGCGACUUGAGUUUUUCAAACAAAAAACAGUGCGAAAAACAAACACAACACGUUAAAAGUAAAGCUAAAUUAUGUUAAAUUUGCUUUGUUAGUACGAAAGUGACAAAGGCAUAAACAACUGUUAAAACGACAUUAAAACGAAGCACAUUGUAAAACUGCAGAUAAAAGGUCCACAAGGGCCUUUUUCUGUUUGGCUGGUUCUUACGAACCACACCAUAAUUAUCCCCAGGCAACCAACAGUUCCGGACAGAAAACACCGUUCGAGACCGGAGUCGAGCAAGCACUUGGUAUCGACUCGAACAUAACCUCGUCUUGGACCGGUCAGCAUCAAAACAACAUCUUUUAGCCCGACGCUGGUGUCGAAAGGUCAACAAACAACAAUCAUACCAGCAUGCUUUAUUUCCGGCCGUUCCCAACUAUGCUAGAACCGGCAAGUAUUGGGGCGGCAUUUUGCAUGUCAGUCGUCUCCAGCCAGGUGCCUCCGUUACUGGUUGAGACGGUGAAUAAUAAGCCGACAGAGGAAUCGCAGCCGCGCGGCGAUUAACCAACGCCGAGGAAGAACCAAAGCCGCAAGUAUUAAUAGUGUGUGACGUCAUGCCAGGGCCCAUCCGUAAAAUAAACUUAAGCAUUAUUGUAAUCGCAUCCAAAAAUUGUGUAACUGUAGAAAUCCGUAAUCGCUUUACACUUCCGGGAAUCGUUAAAGUUUCGAACCAAAAUGGUUAUCAAAUCUCUCUCUAGGGUGGUCCGCUCAGUGAUUCACAGUUUGCGUUGUUUAUCAUAUUUUGAAUUUCCGACUCUGGUUGAUAGCAUGAGAGGUACCCACCCGUUUCGGCACCUCUGAAAAACAUGUUAGCUGUAAUUGGAAUCCCUUGCGUGAGGUUACUCCAGAAGACGGUGUAACGUAGUGAAUUUCCCUGUAACGACCCUGAGUCCCACCAUAAUCUCUCCUUCCCAUGUUCCCAC